GAUGAACGCUGGCGGCGUGCCUAAUACAUGCAAGUCGAGCGAACAGACGAGGAGCUUGCUCCUCUGACGUUAGCGGCGGACGGGUGAGUAACACGUGGAUAACCUACCUAUAAGACUGGGAUAACUUCGGGAAACCGGAGCUAAUACCGGACAAUAUAUUGAACCGCAUGGUUCAAUAGUGAAAGACGGUUUUGCUGUCACUUAUAGAUGGAUCCGCGCCGCAUUAGCUAGUUGGUAAGGUAACGGCUUACUAAGGCAACGAUGCGUAGCCGACCUGAGAGGGUGAUCGGCCACACUGGAACUGAGACACGGUCCAGACUCCUACGGGAGGCAGCAGUAGGGAAUCUUCCGCAAAGGGCGAAAGCCUGACGGAGCAACGCCGCGUGAGUGAUGAAGGUCUUCGGAUCGUAAAACUCUGUUAUUAGGGAAGAACAAAUGUGUAAGUAACUAUGCACGUCUUGACGGUACCUAAUCAGAAAGCCACGGCUAACUACGUG
rnacentral:rRNA from 1 species